AACGAACGCUGGCGGCAUGCCUAACACAUGCAAGUCGAACGAGAACUUCGGGCCUUGUGGCGCUCGGGUGCGUAACGCGUGGGAACCUGCACUUAGGUUCGGAAUCCCUCCCUGUAAGGGGAGCUAAUACCGGUUAAUGUAUUAGGACCAAGGAUCUAUCGCCUCUGGAUGGGCCCGCGUUGGUUUAGCCAGUUGGUAGGGUACAAGCCUACCAUGGCGAUGAUCCAUAGCUGGUCUGAGAGGAGGAUCAGCCACACUGGGACUGGGACACGGCCCAGACGCCUGCGGAGGGAGCAGUAGGGAAUAUUAGACGAGGGGCGAAAGCCUGAUCCAGCAAUGCCGCGUGAGUGAUGAAGGCCUUAGUGUUGUAAAGCUCUUUUACCCGGGAUGAUAAUGACAGUACCGGGAGAAUAAGCUCCGGCUAACUCCGUG
rnacentral:rRNA from 1 species